rnacentral:rRNA from 1 species
UACGGGGGGAGCAAGCGUUGUUCGGAUUUACUGGGCGUAAAGGGCGCGUAGGCGGCGUGACAAGUCACUUGUGAAAUCUCCGGGCUUAACUCGGAACGGUCAAGUGAUACUGUCGUGCUAGAGUACAGAAGGGGCAACUGGAAUUCUCGGUGUAGCGGUGAAAUGCGUAGAUAUCGAGAGGAACACCUGCGGCGAAGGCGGGUUGCUGGGCUGAUACUGACGCUGGAGGCGCGAAAGCUAGGGGAGCGAACGGG